rnacentral:lncRNA from 1 species
GACGCGCGGCAUUCGGGGCGCCUAUUUUGGAAACUGCGAUUACGAGAGGAAACUUCAAAUUGAUUGCCUGAAUCGGUAUCCGGGAUGGUGAGAAUUGAUGGGGUGGUUUCCUUUCGAAGAAAGAUGUGCAGGAAGGAAAGAAAUCGAAGGAAGAAAAUAUGAAAGGAGAAAUUUCCUCACCUGCAGAGGAGGAAGAAGAGCACAGCUCGUGCUCGCUGGCUGGGGUGCUCGGUGGAGAUGGGCCGGCCCAGUUUGGGUCGGUCCAUUCUCUUUUUUCUUUUUUUUCCAUUUCUGUUUUUAUUAAUAACUUUUGAUUCCUAACUCCAAAUAAGUCCAAAUAAACUCCAGUAAAUUUGUAAAUUCAAAUCCUCCAAAGUGUGAACUUUUGGGACUUGAAUUCUUUCAAAAUAAAAAUAAGUAAAAAUAUUUUUGCUUAUAUAAAUGUCAUUAGGGCUUUAUAAGUAAUGGGUUUUGAAAUCUAUUAUGAAACCUUUGUUUCAUGAAUUAGUUUAAACUCCAACAAAAUAUUGGGUUGGCAUACUUUGCACUAAAACCCUUUCUUAGAUAAAUACCCCAUUGGGUUGAAUUCCAAAUAAAAUCUCAUAUUAAUUAAAUCGUUCACUAAAUUC